rnacentral:rRNA from 1 species
UACGUAGGGACCGAGCGUUGUCCGGAUUCAUUGGGCGUAAAGAGCUCGUAGGCGGCUGCUCAAGUCGAACGUGAAAACUCGGAGCUCAACUCCGAGCCUGCGUUCGAUACUGGACGGCUAGAGUCUGGUAGGGGGAUCUGGAAUUCCUGGUGUAGCGGUGGAAUGCGCAGAUAUCAGGAGGAACACCGGUGGCGAAGGCGGUUCUCUGGGCAUUACCUGACGCUGAGGAGCGAAAGUGUGGGGGAGCGAACAGG